GACGAACGCUGGCGGCGUGCUUAACACAUGCAAGUCGAACGGAAAGUCCCUGCUUUUGUGGGGUGCUCGAGUGGCGAACGGGUGAGUAACACGUGAGUAACCUGCCCUUGACUUUGGGAUAACUUCAGGAAACUGGGGCUAAUACCGGAUAGGAGCUCCUGCUGCAUGGUGGGGGUUGGAAAUUUUCGGCGGUUGGGGAUGGACUCGCGGCUUAUCAGCUUGUUGGUGGGGUAGUGGCUUACCAAGGCUUUGACGGGUAGCCGGCCUGAGAGGGUGACCGGCCACAUUGGGACUGAGAUACGGCCCAGACUCCUACGGGAGGCAGCAGUGGGGAAUAUUGCACAAUGGGCGGAAGCCUGAUGCAGCAACGCCGCGUGCGGGAUGACGGCCUUCGGGUUGUAACCCGCUUUCGCCUGUGACGAAGCGUGAGUGACGGUAAUGGGUAAAGAAGCACCGGCUAACUACGUG
rnacentral:rRNA from 1 species